rnacentral:lncRNA from 1 species
GCUGGGGCUGCUGCAGUUGGUAUUUCAUAGGCUGAUAUCCUCCAUGCCCUCCAACCCUCUCCCAGUCCCUUCUGGGACUAUAAAGUGCUCACUGUAGAAUAUGGCUGAACUACGCAGGUGGUCCAGGGAGACUUGGAGCAGCCUGUCUGAGGUCACUGAAUAAUCCCAGAAACACAUCCACAAAACUGAGCCAAUACUAUAAGCACAGAACAUUUUUAGAAGCUGUGGGACAGAGGAAGGCCCUUCCCAAGAUAUUGCUUCGGGACCCAGAAUUUAAACAUUCACCAUUGGCUCCGGUCAUGCAGGCUGUCACAUGCUCCUGAAAAGAUGGCUGCAAACCCGAGAGACCCUAGUGGGCACAUGUACAAGCAGCUGGGCGUCGAGAGGAACACACUCGCAGAAAAACACUAGCAGGCCAUCGACGGUGGAACCACGCAGACGCUGAGGGAAAUUUGGCAGAGGGCAGUCAGAAGCAAGCCCAGCCACUGAGCGGCCUGACUCCAGGGGAAGACCCCUUCCCACUCCAUCCCUCUUCCGGCUUCCCAUCCAUCUGCUAAGAGCUACUUCCACCACUCAAUAAAAC